GAGGGUAUAGCUCAAGUGGUAGAGUGCAUGCUUAGCAUGCACAAGGCUCUGGGUCCAAUCCCCAGUACCUCUA
rnacentral:tRNA from 1 species